CGGGUCGAUCCAGUAUGACUGGACCCGUUUGACGAGUAUGGGCCCGUAGCUCAGUUGGUUAGAGCACACGCUUGAUAAGCGUGGCGUCGGAAGUUCAAGUCUUCCCGGGCCCACCAUUUGCAUUAGUAGAUGGGGCUUGGGAAUAGACGGCAGACGCGGAAAGUUGCCGAACCCAGGAUAUCUUGGCCGAUCGAGCUGAUGGGGCUGUAGCUCAGCUGGGAGAGCACCUGCUUUGCAAGCAGGGGGUCAGCGGUUCGAUCCCGCUCAGCUCCACCAUAUCGAUUGGUGUUGAGACUGACGGUGUUGAGACUGACGGUAACCGAGCGAAGCUCGCAAGCGCGAGGCGCGUCGCCAAUCGUUUGGCGCCCCCGCGGAGCGCCUUCGGCGCGUGAGCGACGAAUUUGUCUUUUGAAGAAAUAAAAGUUUGCAUCGGCUUUGCGCCUGAUGCCUGUUCUGCAUACAUUGCGAAGAGAAGAUUGAUAUGGAGGNUUCCAGGUGUUUUGGCUUUGCCCGAAACGUCCGAGCCCAGUUCUGCUGAUCCUAUGGAUGGCCUAGCCGGCCGGAGAUAAGGGGAAGCACUGGAGGUAGGAAGGGAGCUCGUCUCUAUGGAUCGUUUAUUCUUCGGUGCCUGUGGGCAUGGUAUGAUGCACGAUCGGAUUCCCAUUGCCUGACCGCGCGCUAUCGGAUCCAAUCUCGAGCAGCUGGUCUUAACACGCUACACGAGCGUGCUGCUCGGCGUAGCUCCAAUGAAGUGAUCAGAUGUGGACACGUCGAUGGCAUCAUGAAAUGAUCCGGUUGUCGAAGGUCACCGGAUUUUGGACUGGCCGCACGUCAAUCGCAANGUUGUCCGGAUGGUCAGAUUUGGCACCCCACGAGGGCGAAAGCUCGAGUGGAUAAGCUUUGCCACAUCCGUACAUAGAUGAG
rnacentral:tRNA from 1 species